CGAUAUAACAAUUACUGCUCAAAUCUUGCCAGGACUUUCUUGAUUGAUGCCAAUACAAUGCAGACUAAGGCUUAUGAGGUUCUGCUCAAAGCCCAUGAAGCAGCAAUUGGUGCAUUGAAGCCUGGGAACAAGAUUAGUGCUGCAUAUCAAGCAGCCAUGUCAGUGGUUGAGAAAGAGGCUCCUGACUUAGUUCCAAAUCUGACAAAAUCAGCAGGGACUGGAAUUGGUCUUGAGUUCCGAGAGUCUGGACUGAAUAUUAAUGCCAAGAAUGAUCGAGUCCUGAAGCCAAAUAUGGUUUUUAAUGUGUCACUUGGUUUUCAGAACUUACAGAACCAAACAAAUAACCCUAAGAUCCAGAAUUUUUCUUUAUUAGUUGCUGAUACAAUUAUUGUAGGCCAAACAAAUCCAGAAGUGGGAACUUGUAAGAGCUCCAAAGCUGUUAAGGAUGUGGCAUACUCGUUCAGUGAAGAGGAUGAAGAAGUAAAACCAGAACCUAAACCUGUUGUUAAUGGCACAAAAGCCUUCAUUUCCAAGACAACACUAAGGUCUGAUACUGGGGAGAUCUCCAAAGAGGAAAUUCGGCGGCAGCACCAGGCUGAGCUUGCCCGUCAAAAGAAUGAAGAAACUGCACUUCGGCUUGCUGGUGGAGGAAGUGCAACAGGUGAUAACCGUUCAGCUGCAAAGACUUCAACUGAUUUGACAGCGUACAAGAAUGUCAAUGAUAUUCCUUCUGGAAGAGAUCUAAUGAUUCAGAUAGACCAGAAGAAUGAGGCAGUUCUUUUGCCUGUUUAUGGGAGUAUGGUACCUUUCCAUGUUGCUACAAUAAGGACAGUUUCCAGCCAGCAGGACACCAACAGAAAUUGCUAUAUUCGCAU
rnacentral:misc_RNA from 1 species